UUAACUUUAAUUCAAAUUCAAAUGACUAGUUACAGAGAAAAAAAAAAUGGGACAGAGAAAGCUCAUCGCGUCUAAAAUUUCAAAUUUUCACCAAAUUUACCCAAAACUUGCUUUUCGAUUCUGAAAUUCGCAGUUCGAAUUCACAAUUCCUCUAACUUUCGAUUAUGAAACACAAAGCUCUUAAAACUCCCGCGUCUGAAAUCUCCCAUAAAUUCGCGGUUCAAGUUUUCCCUAAAUUUUCCCCAAAUUUUGGAGUGAAGAAAGAACAAGUUCGAUUCUGAUAUAGGUAUGUGUGGCGUUUUGAUUCCCACUAGUAUUUUUUUUUGCUUUAUUGUGCGUUUCAAUUCCUGCUACUUAGAUUUAGGGCUGAAUUUGUGGCUCCUCAAUACAGCUUGCACUUUGCUAUUUUUUGAUUUAUUGUGGUUGACGAAUCUGCGCUCCAUUAUCUGUUGAGAAUUGGGCUUAAUUUCGUUUUUUUAGGUUUAGGGUUGAGUUUCGAUUCUUGGUCUUAAAUCAAUUAAAGAUGCUUGCGACUGUUGAGUUUGAUUUAUUUGGUUUUUUUAGGUUUAGGUCUGAGUUCCUUCUACAGCAGCUAACAUGUUUUAAAUAUUUUCAGCAUGUCGAAUCUCGUGGUAUUGCUUAGGAUGUGGCAUGAUGGAGUGUUCGAAGUUAGAGGAGCUUUGUGUUCUUCGAUUGUUUCCUUAUGUUUCUUAUUUAUGUAAUUAGUCAUUUGAAUUAAUGUUAAUGAUAUGUAAUUUUAUUUCUUUUUCUUUAAUUUUUCUGGCCAUAAAAGUCACAUCACUGUUCCGUCUAUCCACGUCACUGUUCCGUCGACGGAAAAUUUUUACAGGACAAAAAUAAGAAAAUUUUCAUACGUUG
rnacentral:lncRNA from 1 species